rnacentral:rRNA from 1 species
GGCUCAGAACGAACGCUGGCAGCGUGGAUUAGGCAUGCAAGUCGUACGAGGGCGUUUUGUUAGCAAUAAUGAAACGCCCGAGUGGCGGAAGGGCGAGUAACGCCUGAGCAACCUGCCCCCUUGCUGGGGAUACCUCGGGGAAACCCGAGUUAAUACCGAAUGUGACCAGGGCCGGCAUCGGCCCGAAGUGAAAGGCGGGGACCGCGAGGCCUGCCGCAAGGGAGGGGUUCAGGUACCAUCAGCUAGUCGGUGGGGUAACGGCCCACCGAGGCUACGACGGUUAGCUGGUCUGAGAGGACGACCAGCCGCACUGGGACUGAGAUACUGCCCAGACUCCUACGGGAGGCUGCAGUCGAGGAUCAUUCGCAAUGGGCGCAAGCCUGACGAUGCGACGCUGCGUGGAGGGAAUGAAGGGCUUCGGCUCGUAAACUCCUGUCAUGAGGGAAAAAGCUCCCCGCCGUGAACAACGGCGGGGGUCGAUGGUACUUCAAGAGGAAGCCACGGCUAACUCUGUGCCAGCCGCGGC